UAAAAAAAAACAUUAAAAAUGGCUGUGGUUGCACGAUGCAUCCACUAGAUGGUGGUACACUACAGGAAUACAAUACCAUACAAUACAGCUUUAUUUAUACUGAGCCUUCACAACCGC